CCUACGGGUGGCAGCAGUGAGGAAUCUUGGUCAAUGGGCGCGAGCCUGAACCAGCCAAGUCGCGUGCGGGAAGACGGUCCUAUGGAUUGUAAACCUCUUUUGUCGGGGAGCAAAAGACGCCACGCGUGGCGUUCCGAGAGUACCCGAAGAAAAAGCAUCGGCUAACUCCGUGCCAGCAGCAGCGGUAUUACGUAGGAUGCGAGCGUUAUCCGGAGUUAUUGGGUUUAAAGGGUGCGAAGGCGGAAGAUACAGUCAGCGGGAAAAGUGAGAGGCUCAACCUCUUCGAGCCGUUGAACAUGGUUGUCUUGAGUGAGUGAGAAGGAUGCUGAAUGCGUGGUGUAGCGGUGAAAUGCAUAGAUAUCACGCAGAACUCCGAUUGCGAAGGCAGCAUACCGGCGCUCAACUGACGCUCAUGCACGAAAGUGUGGGUAUCGAACAGGAUUAGAGACCCGGGUAGUC
rnacentral:rRNA from 1 species